rnacentral:rRNA from 1 species
AUUGAACGCUGGCGGCAGGCCUAACACAUGCAAGUCGAAUGAGUGGCGGACGGGUGAGUAAUAUCUGGGAAACUUCCUGAUGGAGGGGGAUCACUACUGGAAACGGUAGCUUAUACCGCAUACCAUCAGAUGUGCCCAGAUGGGAUGAGCUAGUAGGUGGGGUAACGGCUCACCUAGGCGACGAUCCCUAGCUGGUCUGAGAGGAUGACCAGCCACACGGGAGAGAAGAUAAGGUCUCGACUCCUACGUGAGACAGCGGCGGGGAAUAUUGCACAAUGAGCGCAAGCCUGUUGCGCCCAAUCGGGGUGUAUGAAGAAGGCCUACGGGUUGUAAAGUACGUUAAGCGGGGAGGCGGUACCCGAAGAAGAAGCACCGGCUAACUCCGUGCCAGCAGCCGCGGUAAUAC